UACGUAGGGAGCGAGCGUUGUCCGGAUUCAUUGGGCGUAAAGAGCUCGUAGGCGGCUUGGCAAGUCGGGUGUGAAAACUCCAGCUCAACCUGGAGACGCCACCCGAUACUGCCAUGGCUAGAGUCCGGUAGGGGACCACGGAAUUCCUGGUGUAGCGGUGAAAUGCGCAGAUAUCAGGAGGAACACCGGUGGCGAAGGCGGUGGUCUGGGCCGGAACUGACGCUGAGGAGCGAAAGCGUGGGGAGCGAACGGA
rnacentral:rRNA from 1 species